GAAGCGGGAAGCCGGCUCCCGCUCAUUGCCGGGUAAGACCGGCACCGUCGAUCCGUGAGGAUCGACUGCC
ncrna:Thermaerobacter subterraneus DSM 13965 Transposase-2 RNA